rnacentral:rRNA from 1 species
UACAGAGGUCUCAAGCGUUGUUCGGAUUCAUUGGGCGUAAAGGGUGUGUAGGUGGCGCGCUAAGUCAGGUGUGAAAUCUUGGAGCUUAACUCCGAAACUGCAUUCGAUACUGCCGUGCUUGAGGACUGGAGAGGAGACUGGAAUUUACGGUGUAGCGGUGAAAUGCGUAGAUAUCGUAAGGAAGACCAGUGGCGAAGGCGGGUCUCUGGACAGUUCCUGACGCUGAGGCACGAAGGCCAGGGGAGCAAACGGG